rnacentral:rRNA from 1 species
UUACUAGCGAUUCCGGCUUCAUGCAGGCGAGUUGCAGCCUGCAAUCCGGACUGAGAAUGGCUUUAGGAGAUUAGCUUGACCUCGCGGUUUAGCGACUCGCUGUACCAUCCAUUGUAGCACGUGUGUAGCCCAGCUCAUAAGGGGCAUGCUGAUUUGACGUCAUCCCCACCUUCCUCCGGUUUGUCACCGGCAGUCUCGCCAGAGUGCCCAACUGAAUGCUGGCAACUGACAACAAGGGUUGCGCUCGUUACGGGACUUAACCCAACAUCUCACGACACGAGCUGACGACAACCAUGCACCACCUGUCAUUCUGUCCCCGAAGGGAACACUCUAUCUCUAGAGUUGGCAAAAGAUGUCAAGAGCUGGUAAGGUUCUUCGCGUUGCUUCGAAUUAAACCACAUGCUCCACCGCUUGUGCGGGUCCCCGUCAAUUCCUUUGAGUUUAAGCCUUGCGGCCGUACUCCCCAGGCGGAGUGCUUAAUGCGUUAACGCCGGCACCGAGGGGUGGAAGCCCCCCAACACCUAGCACUCAUCGUUUACGGCAUGGACUACCAGGGGUAUCUAAUCCUGUUUGCUACCCAUGCUUUCGAGCCUCAGCGUCAAUAAUAGACCAGAAAGUCGCCUUCGCCACUGGUGUUCCUCCAUAUAUCUACGCAUUUCACCGCUACAC